rnacentral:rRNA from 1 species
AGAUUGAACGCUGGCGGUAGGCCUAACACAUGCAAGUCGAGCGCGAAAGCACCUUCGGGUGCGAGUAGAGCGGCGGACGGGUGCGUAACGCGUAGGAAUCUGCCUGGUAGUGGGGGAUAACUCGGGGAAACUCGAGCUAAUACCGCAUACGCCCCACGGGGGAAGCGGGGGACCUUCGGGCCUCGCGCUAUCAGAUGAGCCUGCGUCGGAUUAGCUAGUUGGUAGGGUAAUGGCCUACCAAGGCGACGAUCCGUAGCUGGUCUGAGAGGAUGAUCAGCCACACUGGGACUGAGACACGGCCCAGACUCCUACGGGAGGCAGCAGUGGGGAAUAUUGGACAAUGGGGGCAACCCUGAUCCAAGCCAUACCGCGUGUGUGAAGAAGGCCUUCGGGGUUGUAAAGCACUUUCAGUGGGAGGAAAAGUUACCGGCGAAUACCCGGCGACCGUGACGCUACCUGCAGAAGAAGACACCGCAAACUCCGUGCCAGCAGCCGC